UCUUGUAUAAUUUAUAUUUUCUGAUUGAAAAUAUUUUUUUGUCUUGUUUAAAAGGGGAGAAAAAUUAUUGAAAACAAUUUGAUUGUUUCCAAAGGAACAAAAUUUCUCUUUUAAGAGCGAUAACUUAAAAAAUAAAAGUCUAUUUUUUCUUGGUUAUGACUGAAUAACACAUUCAUGUCAGCCCUUCCCAAUCCUUUAACUUGAACAGGCUUUGUUAUAUUCUGUGUUAUAUUGGGGGGCUGUAGGCACAAGUGGGGAAUGUGUUUUACUGUCCCUGGAAAUAUGUACUGGAUAAUGAUGGUCUUUGCCCUUCACCCCUUCCCUUUCUAGGAGAGCUGAGGGUGGAAACUGCUGAGCUUGAGCAAAUUCCAAGUGGAUUUCUUUUCCUGGGAUGAAAUUUUGUACCCUCAGCCUUACCCUGACCAGCUACAAUCUCCAAGUGAUGCUGCUCUGUGAGCUUCAUGUCAUAAAUCAUACAAUCACCUUUCCAUUUUCUCUCAGCUGGAGCACCAGGGUGUUUUUUCAGUCUUUUGUGUCACUUUUUGGAGGAGAAAUUGCACUGCUGCAUCUUCUGGUGCACAGCCACCUCUCUUUGUUUGAUACUGUGAACCAGAGGCUGGUGACAAAAUUUUUAGCAGUGGUGGUUUUAAACUGAAAGAGGGUCGGGUGAGAUUGAAUGUAAGGAAGAAGUUUUUACAAUGAGGAAGGAAAAACGUUGGCACAGGCUGUUCAGAGAAGCUGUGGAUGCCCCAUCCCUGGGAGUGUUCAAGGCCAGCUUGGAUGUGACUCAGAGCCACCUGGUCUGGUGGAAGGUGGAAGAACUCCAGAUGAUUUUGGGCAUUACCACUGGUUCCUCUGGAGUUGGACAGUUGCAGACUCAGCUGGUUGAUGUCAGCACAAGAGCUUGACAUGGUUUAUUGCCAUUUUCUGCACUUGUGGAGCUCCCAGGAUGCUGAUCCUAGGCUGUGGAGAGCUGCAAAGAAAUCGACAUUUCAGAAGUGAUUGAAAACGUCAAUAAACCUCUGGCCAGUGAGGUCCAGAGGCUGGGCCAAGCACAGGGUGGUUCCCCCAAAAACAAACCCAAUGGAAAGGGCAGGUGAGACCCCUCUGCAAGUCACCAUUUCCAUCCCACAGAGCCCAAAAAUGACUCCAGAGCAGGCACUGAGGUGGAUGGGCUGGGAAGCAGGGACAAAUCAGCAGCACUGAAGACCCCCAUUUGGACAGGCUGAUGCAGAGGAGGAGAGCAGCCCCUGCUGUCGUGUGCUGAGUGGAUGAAGAAUCACAGAAUAAUGGAAUGGUUUGGCUUGGAAGGAAUCUUGAAGACCAUCUAAUUCCAACCCCCUGCCAUGGGCAGGGACACCUUCCACUGGACCAGGUAAAUCCCAUCCAACCUGGCCUUGAACAACUCCAGGGAUGAUGCUCCAUGGCUGUUUCAAACUGUUCCAGUGCCUCUCUAGCCUCAGGGUAAAGAAUUUCUUCCUAAUAUUUAAUCAAAAUCCACCCUCCUUCAGCUUAAGGCCCCUCCUCCUUGUCCCAUCA